rnacentral:lncRNA from 1 species
AUGAAAGGAAAUAGCUCCGACCCAUAAUUCCAUCAGAGAAUCAUUGUUAAAUAACUUGGUAUGAAGUUUAGAUUUGAGGUUUUGUAUUCAAGGACUGGAUCUAUUCGGGUCAUGUUUUUUUUUGUUGUAAGUAAAUGAAAGCACACUUCGAAAGGUAAUUUUCUCCUCUUUGUUUUGAUGGAUUGUGACAUCUAAUGUCGGAUUUGUGAAAUCUGUUUUUGAUUGAUUUUGGUGAUUUUUGAUGUUUGAUUGAUGAACUCGUGUGGUCUUAGUUUUAAAUUUGUGAAAUUUAUUGUUUUUAGGUUAUUGAAUGUCAAAUUUCAAAGUGUUAAAGAGGUUAAGGAAAAUUUAAAAUGCCGAAAGUAGGAAAUUUGAGGAUGGGAUUGAAGAAAUAAACUAAUUUUUCACUUCAAUUGUUGUUUAAUUCGCUAUUGCAAUUAACUAAACUUUGUUCGACUCUGUCGUGACAUGUUUAAGAUAGGGGAGUUACUAGGCAAAUUGUAGAAAGUUGGUAGGCGAAAUUGUAGGUUUUUGAUAAUUGACAAUGCAAGAAUUGUUUGUUAGUUAGUUCUUUAAUUAUUUCUUUUGAUUCAAUUGGAUCGAUUUUUUGGGGAAUGCCUCGAAGUACUGUGUAUUCAUUCAUUCACUAGGGAAUGCCUCAGAGUAUCUUGUAUCCGGUGGCCGUUCGAGAGAAGAAUCAAGCUAUCAGAUGAAGCAUAGUUUAGGCUAUUUAGAUAUCAUAGUUUGUUUUUGUAUUUUUUUUAAUUUUGGACCGUAUAAUUAGACCAGACACUAUUCUUUUACUUUUGUACUCG